AAGGCGGAUUCCGAAAAGCCAACGAGUAGGAA
rnacentral:ncRNA from 1 species